CGUAAGCCCACGCCGGUCGAAGAUACCAGGCCGCUGCGACUGUUUAUUAAAAACACAGCACUCUGCAAACACGAAAGUGGACGUAUAGGGUGUGACGCCUGCCCGGUGCCGGAAGGUUAAUUGAUGGGGUUAGCUAACGCGAAGCUCUUGAUCGAAGCCCCGGUAAACGGCGGCCGUAACUAUAACGGUCCUAAGGUAGCGAAAUUCCUUGUCGGGUAAGUUCCGACCUGCACGAAUGGCGUAACGAUGGCGGCGCUGUCUCCACCCGAGACUCAGUGAAAUUGAAAUCGCUGUGAAGAUGCAGUGUAUCCGCGGCUAGACGGAAAGACCCCGUGAACCUUUACUAUAGCUUUGCACUGGACUUUGAAUUUGCUUGUGUAGGAUAGGUGGGAGGCUUUGAAGCGUGGACGCCAGUUCGCGUGGAGCCAUCCUUGAAAUACCACCCUGGCAACUUUGAGGUUCUAACUCAGGUCCGUUAUCCGGAUCGAGGACAGUGUAUGGUGGGUAGUUUGACUGGGGCGGUCUCCUCCUAAAGAGUAACGGAGGAGUACGAAGGUGCGCUCAGACCGGUCGGAAAUCGGUCGUAGAGUAUAAAGGCAAAAGCGCGCUUGACUGCGAGACAGACACGUCGAGCAGGUACGAAAGUAGGUCUUAGUGAUCCGGUGGUUCUGUAUGGAAGGGCCAUCGCUCAACGGAUAAAAGGUACUCCGGGGAUAACAGGCUGAUACCGCCCAAGAGUUCAUAUCGACGGCGGUGUUUGGCACCUCGAUGUCGGCUCAUCACAUCCUGGGGCUGAAGCCGGUCCCAAGGGUAUGGCUGUUCGCCAUUUAAAGUGGUACGCGAGCUGGGUUUAGAACGUCGUGAGACAGUUCGGUCCCUAUCUGCCGUGGACGUUUGAGAUUUGAGAGGGGCUGCUCCUAGUACGAGAGGACCGGAGUGGACGAACCUCUGGUGUUCCGGUUGUCACGCCAGUGGCAUUGCCGGGUAGCUAUGUUCGGAAAAGAUAACCGCUGAAAGCAUCUAAGCGGGAAACUUGCCUCAAGAUGAGAUCUCACUGGGACCUUGAGUCCCCUGAAGGGCCGUCGAAGACUACGACGUUGAUAGGUUGGGUGUGUAAGCGCUGUGAGGCGUUGAGCUAACCAAUACUAAUUGCCCGUGAGGCUUGACCAU
rnacentral:rRNA from 1 species